AUUGAACGCUGGCGGCAGGCUUAACACAUGCAAGUCGAGCGGAGCGAGGGUGCUUGCACCUUAGCUUAGCGGCGGACGGGUGAGUAAUGCUUAGGAAUCUGCCUAUUAGUGGGGGACAACAUUCCGAAAGGAAUGCUAAUACCGCAUACGCCCUACGGGGGAAAGCAGGGGAUCUUCGGACCUUGCGCUAAUAGAUGAGCCUAAGUCGGAUUAGCUAGUUGGUGGGGUAAAGGCCUACCAAGGCGACGAUCUGUAGCGGGUCUGAGAGGAUGAUCCGCCACACUGGGACUGAGACACGGCCCAGACUCCUACGGGAGGCAGCAGUGGGGAAUAUUGGACAAUGGGCGGAAGCCUGAUCCAGCCAUGCCGCGUGUGUGAGGAAGGCCUUUUGGUUGUAAAGCACUUUAAGCGAGGAGGAGGAGCUCUAGGUUAAUACCCUAGAUGCUUGGACGUUACUCGCAGAAUAAGCACCGGCUAACUCUGUGCCAGCCGCCGCGGUAAUAC
rnacentral:rRNA from 1 species